AUGGGCUUUUAUCCCAACAGAGUCCAACGGACAAGAUACACUCUUUCUUCUAGAUAUAGAGUAAACGCCCUCCGUCAUGGAAGAAGAUGCUCAAAUGCAGAGGACAGGAUAUUUGAGAUUUUGUGGAAUUAAGUGGAGAUGGAGAGGAGGAGCAGGAGACGAAGAGUCGGCAGUAAAAGAUUGGUCCAUAAAAGCUGGGUCCAAACUUUCACUGACGUGUUUGCACUUGCUGACUGGAACAGGAGCAGCACUCCCCUCUUGAGGACAGCAGCCAUGCAUGGAGUCAGACAGGUGAAACUCUAACCUACUUAUCAGCUGUGGAGGAUACAGCAGUCGAAUAAACACCAUUUGCUGUAAAAACAACACACUUAUCAGACAGUUUGGAGUUUUAAAUCAACUACAUGUUGGAAAUGCUCUCCUAGUGGUCAGCUGGGA